rnacentral:rRNA from 1 species
CUACGGGAGGCUGCAGUGAGGAAUAUUGCACAAUGGGGGGAACCCUGAUGCAGCAACGCCGCGUGGAGGAUGACGCAUUUCGGUGUGUAAACUCCUUUUAUAUGUCAAGAAAAUGACAGUAGCAUAUGAAUAAGCACCGGCUAACUCCGUGCCAGCAGCCGCGGUAAUACGGAGGGUGCAAGCGUUACUCGGAAUCACUGGGCGUAAAGGACGCGUAGGCGGGUUGGAAAGUCAGGUGUGAAAUCCUACAGCUUAACUGUAGAACUGCACUUGAAACUUCUAAUCUAGAGUAUGGGAGGGGGAGAUAGAAUUAGUGGUGUAGGGGUAAAAUCCGUAGAUAUCACUAGGAAUACCUAAAGCGAAGGCGAUCUCCUGGAACAUUACUGACGCUAAGGCGUGAAAGCGUGGGGAGCAAACAGGAUUAGAUACCCGAGUAGUC